GGGGGGGGGGGGGGGGGGGCCUGGCGCGGGCAGGGCGGGGGCGCCGGGCGGGGUGGGCGGCGGACGGGGGGGUAACGCGGGGGAACGUGCUCUUGUCUACGGAGUAGCCUCGGGAAACUGAGAGUAAUACCGUAUACGCCCUUGGGGGGAAAGGUUUAUCGGCCAAGGAUCGGCCCGCGUUGGAUUAGGUAGUUGGUGGGGUAAUGGCCUACCAAGCCGACGAUCCAUAGCUGGUUUGAGAGGAUGAUCAGCCACACUGGGACUGAGACACGGCCCAGACUCCUACGGGAGGCAGCAGUGGGGAAUCUUAGACAAUGGGGGCAACCCUGAUCUAGCCAUGCCGCGUGAGUGAUGAAGGCCUUAGGGUUGUAAAGCUCUUUCAGCUGGGAAGAUAAUGACGGUACCAGCAGAAGAAGCCCCGGCUAACUCCGUG
rnacentral:rRNA from 1 species